AAAUUGAAGAGUUUGAUCAUGGCUCAGAUUGAACGCUGGCGGCAGGCCUAACACAUGCAAGUCGAACGGUAACAGGAAGAAGCUUGCUUCUUUGCUGACGAGUGGCGGACGGGUGAGUAAUGUCUGGGAAACUGCCUGAUGGAGGGGGAUAACUACUGGAAACGGUAGCUAAUACCGCAUAACGUCGCAAGACCAAAGAGGGGGACCUUCGGGCCUCUUGCCAUCGGAUGUGCCCAGAUGGGAUUAGCUAGUAGGUGGGGUAACGGCU
rnacentral:rRNA from 1 species